UUUAAAAAGAGGAAUUAUCAUUCUAAUGCAAGUUGAUAUUUAACAGUAAAUCAAUGCUCUUACGUGGAGACACACGAUACCCAUGUAACCUCAAGAGUCGAAAGAUGAAAGAUUCUUGAUAUAAUUGCAUUCGUGCGUUGUGUUCUCUUGAAUAUAUUUGUUCUUCGGUCAAGUUCCUAAAAGCACUAUCAGUUGCAUCCCUUAUUUCGGCUUCAAAAUACUCUUUGCAUCCAAGUCUCUCCAGAUGGUCCACCAAGCAAAGUUUUAUGAGGUCUUCUUUGACUGGAUAUAUGGGUGGCACUCCAUACCCACACCUUUGAACUAAGGUUAUCAAGUAAUUGAAGCAUCCUUUGUCUCCG
rnacentral:misc_RNA from 1 species